rnacentral:rRNA from 1 species
UCAAGCUACUAAGGGCAUACGGUGGAUGCCUUGGCACUAAGAGCCGAUGAAGGACGCGGUAAGCUGCGAAAAGCCACGGGGAACUGCAAGCAAGUCUUGAUCCGUGGAUGUCCGAAUGGGGAAACCCACCAUCCGUCAUGGGAUGGUAUCCUACGGGAGGGGAACCCGGUGAACUGAAACAUCUAAGUAGCCGGAGGAAGAGAAAUCAAACGAGAUGCCCACAGUAGCGGCGAGCGAAGAGGGCAGAGGGCAAACCGGGGAGCUACGGCUCUUCGGGGUUGAGGACUGCAUUUAGUCUUAAUGGUCUAUCCGAACUACCUGGAAAGGUAGGCAACACAGUGUAAAAGCCACGUAGGUUAAAGGCCAGAGAGAUGAGCAGUAUCCAGAGUACCACGAGGCACGAGGAAUCUUGUGGGAAGCCGGGGGGACCACCCUCCAACCCUAAACACUGAAUGGCGACCGAUAGCGCAUAGUACCGUGAGGGAAAGGUGAAAAGAACCCCGGGAGGGGAGUGAAAGAGAACCUGAAACCGUAUGUCUACAAGCAGUCGGAGCGAAAGCGACGGCGUGCCUAUUGAAGAAUGAACCAACGAGUUACGUGCACUAGCGAGGUUAAGUGGAAGACACGGAGCCGAAGCGAAAGCGAGUCUUAAGAGGGCGGAUAGUUAGUGUACGUAGACCCGAAACCGCAGUGAUCUACCCAUGUCCAGGUUGAAGCGCAGGUAAAAUUGCGUGGAGGACCGAACCUGUGAGCGUUGAAAAGCUUUAGGAUGAGAUGUGGGUAGAGGUGAAAUUCCAAUCGAACGCGGAGAUAGCUGGUUCUCCCCGAAAUAGCUUUAGGGCUAGCCUCAAGUAGUAAGUAUAGGCGGUAGAGCACUGAUCGGGCUAGGGGCCAUAAAGGUUACCGAACCCUGUCAAACUCCGAAUGGUUAUACUGUAGAGCUUGGGAGUCAGACUACGAGUGAUAAGAUCCGUGGUCAAAAGGGAAACAGCCCAGACCACCAGCUAAGGUCCCCAAUGUCGUACUAAGUGGAAAAGGAUGUGGGGUCUCUAAAACAACCAGGAUGUUGGCUUAGAAGCAGCCACCAUUUAAAGAGUGCGUAAUAGCUCACUGGUCGAGAGACCCUGCGCCGAAGAUUACCGGGGCUAAAGUACGAAACCGAAGCUGUGGCUACGACGUAAGUCGUGGGGUAGGGGAGCGUUCUGUGAGGGCUGAAGUCGUUCUGUAAGGAACGGUGGACUUCACAGAAGUGAGAAUGUUGGUAUGAGUAGCGAAAAGAAUGGUGAGAAUCCAUUCCACCGAAAGCAUAAGGAUUCCUGGGCAACGAUCGUCGUCCCAGGGUAAGUCGGGACCUAAUCCGAGGCAUGGAGCGUAGGAGAUGGACAACUGGCAGAUAUUCCAGUACCGGUAAUGAUUGUUUGAGCGAUGGAGUGACACAGGAGGGCAGGCAGGCAGGAGAUUGGUUGUUCCUGUACAAGCGUGUAGGAUGGGACGUAGGCAAAUCCGCGUCCUGUGAGUCUGAGGCGUGAUGUGGAGGUUCCGGAAACGGAACUGAAGCUGCUGACCCCACACUGUCGAGAAAAGCUUCUAGUUAGAGAAUUACCGCCCGUACCGUAAACCGACACAGGUAUGCGGGGAGAGAAUCCUAAGGUGCGCGGGAGAACCCUCGUUAAGGAACUCGGCAAAAUGUACCCGUAACUUCGGGAUAAGGGUAGCCGCUGUUGUGAAGUCUGCACAGACGGAGCAUGAGGCGGUCGCAGAGAAGAGGCCCAAGCGACUGUUUACCACAAACACAGGUGCCUGCUAAAGAGAAAUCUGACGUAUAGGUGCUGACACCUGCCCAGUGCCGGAAGGUUAAGGAAGGAUGUCCGGAGCAAUCCAAAGCAUUCGACCGAAGCCCCGGUGAACGGCGGCCGUAACUAUAACGGUCCUAAGGUAGCGAAAUUCCUUGUCGGGUAAG